rnacentral:rRNA from 1 species
GUCGAACGAGAAAGUGGAGCAAUCCAUGAGUACAGUGGCGCACGGGUGAGUAACACGUGGAUAACCUGCCUUCGAGUGGGGGAUAACCCCGGGAAACCGGGGCUAAUACCGCAUAACCUCCUCGGGCUGCAAUGCCUGAGGAACAAAGGGGUAACUCGCUGGAAGAGGGGGUCGCGUCUGAUUAGCUAGUUGGCGGGGUAAUGGCCCACCAAGGCGAUGAUCAGUAGCCGGCCUGAGAGGGCGCACGGCCACACUGGAACUGAAACACGGUCCAGGAUCCUACGGGAGGCAGCAGUGGGGAAACUUUGCACAAUGGGGGAAACCCUGAUGCAGCAACGCCGCGUGGAGGAUGAAGCCCCUUGGGGCGUAAACUCCUUUCGAUCGGGACGAUUAUGACGGUACCGGAUGAAGAAGCACCGGCUAACUCUGUGCCAGCAGCCGCGGUAAUACAGAGGGUGCAAGCGUUGUUCGGAAACUAUUGGGCGUAAAGGGCGCGUAGGCGGUGCGGUAAGUCUGUGGUGAAAUCUCUGGGCUCAACUCAGAGUCUGCCGCGGAAACUGCCGUGCUGGAGUGUGGGAGAGGUGCGUGGAAACUUCCGGUGUAGCGGUGAAAUGCGUAGAUAUCGGGAGGAACACCUGUGGCGAAAGCGGCGCACUGGACCACAACUGACGCUGAGGCGCGAAAGCUAGGGGAGCAAACAGGAUUAGAUACCCUGGUAGU